rnacentral:rRNA from 1 species
GUUAAGCGACUAAGCGUACACGGUGGAUGCCCUGGCAGUCAGAGGCGAUGAAGGACGUGCUAAUCUGCGAUAAGCGUCGGUAAGGUGAUAUGAACCGUUAUAACCGGCGAUUUCCGAAUGGGGAAACCCAGUGUGUUUCGACACACUAUCAUUAACUGAAUCCAUAGGUUAAUGAGGCGAACCGGGGGAACUGAAACAUCUAAGUACCCCGAGGAAAAGAAAUCAACCGAGAUUCCCCCAGUAGCGGCGAGCGAACGGGGAGCAGCCCAGAGCCUGAAUCAGUGUGUGUGUUAGUGGAAGCGUCUGGAAAGGCGCGCGAUACAGGGUGACAGCCCCGUACACAAAAAUGCACAUGCUGUGAGCUCGAUGAGUAGGGCGGGACACGUGGUAUCCUGUCUGAAUAUGGGGGGACCAUCCUCCAAGGCUAAAUACUCCUGACUGACCGAUAGUGAACCAGUACCGUGAGGGAAAGGCGAAAAGAACCCCGGCGAGGGGAGUGAAAAAGAACCUGAAACCGUGUACGUACAAGCAGUGGGAGCCUCUUUUAUGGGGUGACUGCGUACCUUUUGUAUAAUGGGUCAGCGACUUAUAUUCUGUAGCAAGGUUAACCGAAUAGGGGAGCCGAAGGGAAACCGAGUCUUAACUGGGCGUUAAGUUGCAGGGUAUAGACCCGAAACCCGGUGAUCUAGCCAUGGGCAGGUUGAAGGUUGGGUAACACUAACUGGAGGACCGAACCGACUAAUGUUGAAAAAUUAGCGGAUGACUUGUGGCUGGGGGUGAAAGGCCAAUCAAACCGGGAGAUAGCUGGUUCUCCCCGAAAGCUAUUUAGGUAGCGCCUCGUGAAUUCAUCUCCGGGGGUAGAGCACUGUUUCGGCAAGGGGGUCAUCCCGACUUACCAACCCGAUGCAAACUGCGAAUACCGGAGAAUGUUAUCACGGGAGACACACGGCGGGUGCUAACGUCCGUCGUGAAGAGGGAAACAACCCAGACCGCCAGCUAAGGUCCCAAAGUCAUGGUUAAGUGGGAAACGAUGUGGGAAGGCCCAGACAGCCAGGAUGUUGGCUUAGAAGCAGCCAUCAUUUAAAGAAAGCGUAAUAGCUCACUGGUCGAGUCGGCCUGCGCGGAAGAUGUAACGGGGCUAAACCAUGCACCGAAGCUGCGGCAGCGACGCUUAUGCGUUGUUGGGUAGGGGAGCGUUCUGUAAGCCUGUGAAGGUGUGCUGUGAGGCAUGCUGGAGGUAUCAGAAGUGCGAAUGCUGACAUAAGUAACGAUAAAGCGGGUGAAAAGCCCGCUCGCCGGAAGACCAAGGGUUCCUGUCCAACGUUAAUCGGGGCAGGGUGAGUCGACCCCUAAGGCGAGGCCGAAAGGCGUAGUCGAUGGGAAACAGGUUAAUAUUCCUGUACUUGGUGUUACUGCGAAGGGGGGACGGAGAAGGCUAUGUUGGCCGGGCGACGGUUGUCCCGGUUUAAGCGUGUAGGCUGGUUUUCCAGGCAAAUCCGGAAAAUCAAGGCUGAGGCGUGAUGACGAGGCACUACGGUGCUGAAGCAACAAAUGCCCUGCUUCCAGGAAAAGCCUCUAAGCAUCAGGUAACAUCAAAUCGUACCCCAAACCGACACAGGUGGUCAGGUAGAGAAUACCAAGGCGCUUGAGAGAACUCGGGUGAAGGAACUAGGCAAAAUGGUGCCGUAACUUCGGGAGAAGGCACGCUGAUAUGUAGGUGAAGCGACUUGCUCGUGGAGCUGAAAUCAGUCGAAGAUACCAGCUGGCUGCAACUGUUUAUUAAAAACACAGCACUGUGCAAACACGAAAGUGGACGUAUACGGUGUGACGCCUGCCCGGUGCCGGAAGGUUAAUUGAUGGGGUCAGCGCAAGCGAAGCUCUUGAUCGAAGCCCCGGUAAACGGCGGCCGUAACUAUAACGGUCCUAAGGUAGCGAAAUUCCUUGUCGGGUAAGUUCCGACCUGCACGAAUGGCGUAAUGAUGGCCAGGCUGUCUCCACCCGAGACUCAGUGAAAUUGAACUCGCUGUGAAGAUGCAGUGUACCCGCGGCAAGACGGAAAGACCCCGUGAACCUUUACUAUAGCUUGACACUGAACAUUGAGCCUUGAUGUGUAGGAUAGGUGGGAGGCUUUGAAGUGUGGACGCCAGUCUGCAUGGAGCCGACCUUGAAAUACCACCCUUUAAUGUUUGAUGUUCUAACGUUGACCCGUAAUCCGGGUUGCGGACAGUGUCUGGUGGGUAGUUUGACUGGGGCGGUCUCCUCCUAAAGAGUAACGGAGGAGCACGAAGGUUGGCUAAUCCUGGUCGGACAUCAGGAGGUUAGUGCAAUGGCAUAAGCCAGCUUGACUGCGAGCGUGACGGCGCGAGCAGGUGCGAAAGCAGGUCAUAGUGAUCCGGUGGUUCUGAAUGGAAGGGCCAUCGCUCAACGGAUAAAAGGUACUCCGGGGAUAACAGGCUGAUACCGCCCAAGAGUUCAUAUCGACGGCGGUGUUUGGCACCUCGAUGUCGGCUCAUCACAUCCUGGGGCUGAAGUAGGUCCCAAGGGUAUGGCUGUUCGCCAUUUAAAGUGGUACGCGAGCUGGGUUUAGAACGUCGUGAGACAGUUCGGUCCCUAUCUGCCGUGGGCGCUGGAGAACUGAGGGGGGCUGCUCCUAGUACGAGAGGACCGGAGUGGACGCAUCACUGGUGUUCGGGUUGUCAUGCCAAUGGCACUGCCCGGUAGCUAAAUGCGGAAGAGAUAAGUGCUGAAAGCAUCUAAGCACGAAACUUGCCCCGAGAUGAGUUCUCCCUGACCCUUUAAGGGUCCUGAAGGAACG